rnacentral:rRNA from 1 species
GGAUAACCUGCCCUAUUGUCUGGAAUAACCUCGGGAAACUGAGAACAAGGCCGGAUAACCCACAAUGCCUGGAACGGUUUGUGGGUGAAGAUAGGAUGGGUCUGCGGCGUAUCAGGUCGUAGGGGGUGUAAUGGACCUCCUAGCCAUCGACGCGUACGGGUGUUGGGAGACAUAGCCCGGAGAUGGAUUCUGAGACACGAAUCCAGACCCUACGGGGUGCAGCAGGCGCGAAAACUUCACACUGCAGGAAACUGUGAUGAGGGAACUCCAAGUGCAUCCACUAUGUGGAUGCUUUUUUUGACUAUUAAUCGGUCAACGAAUAAGGGCUGGGAAAGACCGGUGCCAGCCGCCGCGGUAAUACCGGCAGCUCAAGUGGUCGUCGCUUUUAUUGGGCCUAAAACGUCCGUAGCCUGUUUGGUAAAUCUGUGGGUAAAUCAACCAGCUUAACUGAUUGAAUUCUGCAGAGACUGCCAGACUAGGGACCGGGAGAGGUGUGGGGUACUCUAGGGGUAGGGGUAAAAUCCUGUCAUCCUUAGAGGACCACCAGUUGCGAAGGCGCCACACUGGAACGGAUCCGACGGUCAGGGACGAAGCCUAGGGGCACGAACCGGAUUAGAUACCCGGGUAGUCCUAGGUGUAAACGCUGUGAACUUGGUGUCGGGGAUCCGCAAUGGGUCCUCGGUGCCGGAGUGAAGAUGUUAAGUUCACUGCCUGGGGAGUACGGUCGCAAGACUGAAACUU